GAGCCCUGGCACUCAUAGCCUGAUAUAAUGGGGUUUCAGCUAUAAUGCGGUAGGGAUUUUUGACUCCCCACGACCGCGUUAUAGCGGGAUAGAGAUAUUUUCUUUAAAAAAAAAUC